GUGUGUAUGUGCGUGCGCGCGUGUGUGUGUGUGUGUGUGUGUGUGUGUGUGUGUGUGCGUGUGUGCGUGUACAUUGAAAUGAUACCUGAUGUCUGACACAGGAUGAAAUGUAUUUUGAAAACAUAUCAGACAUUUGUAAUAUUGCUAAAUCUAUUGAGUACUCCUUUUUUAAUUUUAAUAACAUAAAAGGUAAAUUGAAUAUACUAUUCAAAUGCAGUGUAUGUAAGAUGCAACACAUGAAUACUUGAAUUUUGAUCAACCAUAAAUUGGUUCAUAUACAUGUACAUUAUUAUAUAUAUAAUUAUAUAUAUAUAUAUAUAUAUAUAUAUAUUAAAGGGAAUCUGACAUCUAGAACGUAUUUAGCCUAUCAUAUGACAUUGUAAUUACUUUUAAACAGGGUUUCUGACAUUUUUAGAACAUAUUAUGAUCAAACCUGCUUUUGAUGAUGUUUUUGAUCGAUCUUGGACGACGCCAGCUUUUGUACAGGCCGCCAUAAUUUUCCCGCAAUGCCUUGCGUGUUUGUUGAGUGGCGCGUGCUCACUUGUUUCACAUAAAUGAAUGGCCGAACUACGUGUUGACAUAUCUUCUGUCAGUUCUGAAUCGGACAGUAACCCGAGGAAUUUCAAUAUGUGACUAAAUCUGCCACCAAUUUUGCACCGUACUCUGUUGAGCCCGAGUGGAAAGAUGGGGAGGAACGGGUAGCAGACAGUUUCGACAGUAAACAGGAAUACCUAAGUGAAGAUUUGCUUUAAGUUCAACAACGUGUCACCGGAACAGCUGACGAUUGGUGCAGCUGUGGCUUGUGCCAAACGAUGUUAUCGAACAGAGAGUGUCUGUAUUGUCAAGAAAUGACAUCAGUCAGGGAUUACCUUCAGCAUCUGGAGUGGAAAAACAAAAAAAGGUGCAUCACAAACCAUCCAGAUUUUGCAGUUGUAUGUUUACAACGUGUUCCGCACUGCACUGGUGGCUAUGCAUGACGUUUCCGGAGGAGAUCUUCAAGAUCCACUGACUAAUAGGAUAUUGCGCUUGGCUGCAUACCGCCAAUAUACCUACUGGGUACACAAACGGCUUGGCAAAGGAGUCAGGAGAGUUAUCCCGGCUUGCGUAAUACUAAAAGUAAGAGAAGCCUAUCCUGAAGAGAGUGGCCAAUAUGUCGGCUAUCGGGAUGCAUGCGAGUCGGAGACAGACGAUGCAUGGCCGGUUUGAGUGGUGACACAGUGUGUGUGAGGGGGGGGGGGUUCUUUAGUCUAACCCUGGGACAGUCCUAGUUAGCUCACUUUGACAUCGUCAAGAAUUAAAUUUAUAAUUAAUAAAUCGUAAAACUCUUCAACUA